AGAGUUUGAUCAUGGCUCAGAUUGAACGCUGGCGGUAUGCUUAACACAUGCAAGUCGAACGGUAACAGCAGAGCUUGCUCUGGCUGACGAGUGGCGGACGGGGGAGUAACGACGGGUGAGUAACGCGUGGGAAUCUACCUAGUAGUGGGGGAUAGCCAGAAGAAAUUCUGAAUAAUACCGCAUACGCCCUACGGGGGAAAGAGGCCCUCUUCUUGAAAGGUCUCACUAUUAGAUGAGCCCGCGUUAGAUUAGCUAGUUGGUGAGGUAAGAGCUCACCAAGGCAACGAUCUAUAGCUGGUCUGAGAGGAUGAUCAGCCACAUUGGGACUGAGACACGGCCCAGACUCCUACGGGAGGCAGCAGUGGGGAAUAUUGGACAAUGGGCGCAAGCCUGAUCCAGCAAUACCGCGUGUGUGAAGAAGGCCCUAGGGUUGUAAAGCACUUUUAUGAGUGAAGAAAUGUUAAGAGUUAAUACCUCUAACCCUGACGUUACCUACAGAAGAAGCACCGGCUAACUCCGUGCCAGCAGCCGCGGUAAUACGGAGGGUGCAAGCGUUAAUCGGAAUUACUGGGCGUAAAGCGCGCGUAGGCGGUUAGUUAAGUUAGAUGUGAAAGCCCCGGGCUCAACCUGGGAACUGCAUUUAAAACUGGCUAACUAGAGUAUGGUAGAGGAGAGUGGAAUUUCAGGUGUAGCGGUGAAAUGCGUAGAUAUCUGAAGGAACACCAGUGGCGAAGGCGGCUCUCUGGACCAAUACUGACGCUGAGGUGCGAAAGCGUGGGUAGCAAACGGGAUUAGAUACCCCGGUAGUCCACGCCGUAAACGAUGUCAACUAACUGUUGGGGCGGGUUUCCGCUUAGUGGUGCAGCUAACGCAAUAAGUUGACCGCCUGGGGAGUACGGCCGCAAGGCUAAAAAAAAAAAGAAUUGACGGGGGCCCGCACAAGCGGUGGAGCAUGUGGUUUAAUUCGAUGCAACGCGAAGAACCUUACCUACCCUUGACAUACAGAGAACUUUCUAGAGAUAGAUUGGUGCCUUCGGGAACUCUGAUACAGGUGCUGCAUGGCUGUCGGCAGCACCUGUCGUGAGAUGUUGGGUUAAGUCCCGUAACGAGCGCAACCCUUAUCCUUAGUUGCCAGCACAUAAUGGUGGGAACUCUAGGGAGACUGCCGGUGAUAAACCGGAGGAAGGUGGGGACGACGUCAAGUCAUCAUGGCCCUUAUGGGUAGGGCUACACACGUGCUACAAUGGUCGGUACAGAGGGCUGCAAACUCGUGAGAGUAAGCUAAUCUCAGAAAGCCGAUCUUAGUCCGGAUUGGAGUCUGCAACUCGACUCCAUGAAGUUGGAAUCGCUAGUAAUCGCGGAUUAGAAUGCCGCGGUGAAUACGUUCCCGGGCCUUGUAUACACCGCCCGUCACACCAUGGGAGUGGGUUGCAAAAGAAGUGGGUAGACUAACCUUUGGGAGGUCGCUCACCACUUUGUGAUUCAUGACUGGGGUGAAGUCGUAACAAGGGUA
rnacentral:rRNA from 1 species